rnacentral:pre_miRNA from 1 species
GUAGUAUUCCCUCCGUCCCAAAAUUCUUGUCUUGCAUUUGUUUAGAUAUGGAUGUAUCUAACACUAAAAUGUAACUAGAUACAUCCGUAUUUAGAAAAAUUUAAGACAAGAAUUUUGGGACGGAGGGAGUACAAA